rnacentral:rRNA from 1 species
GAUCAACGCUGGCGGCGUGCUUAACACAUGCAAGUCGAACGAAGUUUUUCCUUCGGGAGAAACUUAGUGGCGGACGGGUGAGUAACGCGUGGGUAACCUGCCCUGUACAGGGGGACAACAGCUGUAAACGGCUGCUAAUACCGCAUAAGCCCUUAGCACUGCAUGGUGCAUAGGGAAAAGGAGCAAUCCGGUACAGGAUGGACCCGCGUCUGAUUAGCCAGUUGGCAGGGUAACGGCCUACCAAAGCGACGAUCAGUAGCCGAUCUGAGAGGAUGUACGGCCACAUUGGGACUGAGACACGGCCCAGACUCCUACGGGAGGCAGCAGUGGGGAAUAUUGCACAAUGGAGGAAACUCUGAUGCAGCGACGCCGCGUGAGUGAAGAAGUAUUUCGGUAUGUAAAGCUCUAUCAGCAGGGAAGAAAAUGACGGUACCUGACUAAGAAGCACCGGCUAAAUACGU